GACCUCAAAUCAGGUAGGACUACCCGCUGAACUUAAGCAUAUCAAUAAGCGGAGGAAAAGAAACUAACAAGGAUUCCCCUAGUAACUGCGAGUGAAGCGGGAAAAGCUCAAAUUUAAAAUCUGGCGGUUCCGCCGUCCGAGUUGUAAUCUGGAGAAGCGUUUUCUGUGUCGGCCCGUGCAUAAGUCUCUUGGAACAGAGCGUCAUAGAGGGUGAGAAUCCCGUCUUUGGCACGGACUACCGCUGCUAUACGAUACGCUCUCGAAGAGUCGAGUUGUUUGGGAAUGCAGCUCAAAAUGGGUGGUAAAUUCCAUCUAAAGCUAAAUAUUGGCGAGAGACCGAUAGCGAACAAGUACCGUGAGGGAAAGAUGAAAAGCACUUUGGAAAGAGAGUUAAACAGUACGUGAAAUUGUUGAAAGGGAAACGCUUGAAGUCAGUCGCGUCGCCUGGGACUCAGCCUUGCUUCUGCAUGGUGUACUUCCCUUGUGACGGGUCAACAUCGAUUUUGUCCGGCGGACAAGGCGGAGGGAAUGUGGCACCUUUGUGUGUGUUAUAGCC
rnacentral:rRNA from 1 species